UUUGCAGCGGUGAUAUUUGUCUUUUUGAGCUGUACAAGCAUACACACGAUAACACUGUGUUGUUGCAAAACCAAAUCUAGAAAGGAUAUACAUGUUUGGGAUUUCGUUAUGGGAAAGAGAAAAUAAAUAUUCACCUCUCAUCGUGCCAAAGUUUCACGAGAUUUAGAGGAGCUAUUUGGCUCCAUCCUUUCCUUUCACCAUUGCUACCUCUCUCUCUCUCUCUCUCUCUCUCUUCACUUCUCUGCUCAAAUGGAGGCUAAGGUUUUUUGAUGGGGUUAAAAGGGCACCUUUUAUAUGGGGUUCUGGGUGACUUUGGGCCAUUAGAUCCCAAGAUCAAUUUUUAGUCAUUCAAUUUUUCAGGGUGUUAUAAUUCUCCUCCCCUUAAAUAAAAUUUGGUCCUUGACAUUUGUAUUUACUAAGGAUUUGAAAAACAAAUAUAUUUAUCUACUUCCAAAUGGCCUCUUCAAUAGAAUGGUAUUGUGUAACAUUUUUACUAGUGGGACCACUAACUAUAUACUCCUAAAUUAUUCUAACAUCUUCUCAAACUUCCCCUUUUUUCUUUUUUCCAAGGAUAUCGUCCGAUUAGCACCGGAUCUUUAUAUGAGUGAUGACAUCGUUGGGGUGGAGGACUUUCUUACUAGGAUAUUGCAGGUUC
rnacentral:lncRNA from 1 species